UAUAAAUUAAACGACUGACAUCAAUAGGAGGAAGUGGUGCCAGGAGCAGUGUGCUCUAUCUGACUGUCUUUACAGGGAGAAAUUCCACCGAGGCCUUGUUUAUACUCCUGUUUGUGUGUGUGUGUGUGUGUGUGUGUGUGUGUGUGUGUGUGAUUGACAAGAAUUUCCACUGAACGUCCCUGAACUGAGGAAAAAAAAACAUUACUUCAAGCUCACUCAAGCUGUAUGUGUGUGUGUGUGUGUGUGUGUGUGUGUGUGUGUGUGUGAGAGAGAGAGAGAGAGAUCGAGAGAAGAUUGUCAGAUCACUUUCGGCUAUAUGAGACAGGUGUGAGAGCUCAACAAACACACACACAAACACACACACGCAGAGGAAAAUCAUCCAUAAGAGUGUGUUAUGCGUGGUCACGUGACCUUCUCAUUGCCCCAGAAAUACCCUUGGAAGCAUGUUGAGCAAACAUGCUGCCAAUAGUUUACACAUCCCUUAACCCAUCCUUGGCGACACACACACACACACACACACACACACACAGAGUGGCAGUGCCAUUCUACCGACAGCGCCAUGGCAACAGCCGCUAUGUCACCGAGGCGACUAUUUUCUCAUGAUGUCAUGAAUUCAUUCCAGUCGCUUCGCUCCAAUGCACUAUUGUUGCCACAAAAUAAUAAAUGAUGGUCCCGGCUAUUCACGACACGACGCUAGACUUCACGCAUACCGCACAUUUUUAGGCAAAUUGGGUGUUUAUUUAUUACAUUUUAUGAACUGUCUGGGAAAAAAAGCGUGUGUUUUUGUUGUAAAAAAAAAAAAAACAGCCCCUAUUUUUCUCUUGACGUUAACGAAACGAAGAAAAAAACCCCCACGGCUUGUCGCGUUACCGAUAAACCGCAAAAAAAUGACCUCUGUCCCGAAGUUCCGACCGUUACAAAGCGCUGACACUGGAGACUCCUUCCAUACACGUUACAUAAACGUCUCCUCACUUCAAGAACAGUUCACCGUAUUCUCGUUUUUUAAUCCGUUUAUCUCCGACGUCCGGCGUACGAGUCCGUGAGCGAGCUGUUGCUAUAGAAACGGUAACGUGUUAGAACGAGAGCGCUACUAUAAACCUGCGCUACUCUCCGAGCUGCUGUUAGAGAGACUGAAUCGACAACCUUCUGACCAAUCACGUCCCAGAACUCAACAGCUGCUUUGGUUCGAAUAUGUCAUCGUUUCUAUAGAAACAAAAACGAAGACCGGGACAUGUACGGUACGCCGGGACUCGCGCGACACCGGAACUAACUUGUUUUCAGGGAUGUUCCACAACGUCUCUACCCGGUCGUUUCUUGCGUCUUGGAUAUCCGGGUUCUCUCAAGCCUUCAAGCUGAUUAAAAACAAUCGCUCUGCACGUGUCACCCUCGAACCGUCCCCCGGCGUUUGUUUUCGCACAUCAGACCUGACGUUGAUUGGACAGCCUGGCUGGGCUGAUGGUGCAGUUUCAGCAAAUCCAUGCGCGUAAUAGACGGCGAUUACCGGAGCGUCUCGGAGCUGAGGGGAUUAUAGAUGGCUAACGCUAACACAGUGACACACUGACGGACCUGUUGGCGUGGUUUUGCAUCAACUGAAAGAAUGCUAAGUGAGAAAUAAACCGAACAAAGUGGGAGCGGGAUUGGGAGAAGCCUGACCAAAAUAGAGGAACGGAAGAAGUAAAGAUUCAGCAGCGGUCCGUAAAUGUUCCUUCACGUCUGAAAGGCGAUCUGAAAUCCAGACAGAGUCUCAGCGUCGGAUUGAACCUUCCGGAAGCAGAAGUCCUCAAGUCUGAAGAAGCAGAGGGCUUAUAACUAAUGGGUUUGUAGUGCAUGUAGAAGUAAUUUCCUACAAAACAGAGAAGACUAAUACAGUAAUGGAGUACUGCCAUUCAUGUACUACAGUAAAGCCCAAUAGAGCUCUUAUAGAAGGCUUAUGGAAAUCUGAUGGAGGUCUUACAGAAGUCUUAUGGAAGUCUUAUGGAAGUCUUAUGGACUUAUGGAGGUCUUAUGUAAGGCUUAUGGAGGUCUUAUGGAAGUCUUAUGGCAGUCUUAUGGAAGGCAUAUGGAGGUCUUAUGGCAGUCUUAUGGAGGUCUUAUGGAGGUCUUAUGGAGGUCUUAUGGAAGGCAUAUGGCAGUCUUAUGGAAGGCAUAUGGAGGUCUUAUGGAAGUCUUAUGGCGGUUUUAUGGAAGUCUUAUGGAGGUCUUAUGGCAGUCUUACGGAAGGCUUAUGGAAGUCUUAUGGAGGUGUUAUGGCAGUCUAUGGAGGUCUUAUGGCAGUCUUAUGGAGGUCUUAUGGAGGUCUUAUGCCAGUCUUAUGGAAGGCAUAUGGAGGUCUUAUGGAGGUCUUAUGGAGGUCUUAUGGCGGUUUUAUGGAGGUCUUUUGGAGGUCUUAUGGAAGUCUUAUGGCAGUCUUAUGGCAGUCUUAUGGAAGGCAUAUGGAGGUCUUAUGGCAGUCUUAUGGCAGUCUUAUGGCAGUCUUAUGGAAGGCAUAUGGAGGUCUUAUGGCAGUCUUAUGGCAGUCUUAUGGCAGUCUUAUGGAAGGCUUAUGGAGGUCUUAUGGCAGUCUUAUGGCAGUCUUAUGGAAGGCAUAUGGAGGUCUUCUGGAGGUCUUAUGGCAGUCUUAUGGCAGUCUUAUGGAGGUCUUUUGGCAGUCUUAUGGAGUAAUGAGUCUGAAUUUAAGAUAUUUCAUUCACAAAUAUCUUGCAGAAUUUUGUGGACAUUUCCCAACAUUAAAUGUACCUAUAAAUGUAUGAAACCCGUCGCUGAUUAUUUUCCCGCUAUAUCAGCACGACACUGUCGUGUUUUAUUCCUUACUUGGAAUACCAAUGUCUUCCUGCCUAUUCAUAAACCUGAAGCACGUGGUGCUAUUUAUGAACUACGAUAACUAUUUUAAGAUUUCUAUUUCAUUGGACAAAUGAAAUGUUUACGCAGUCAGUUUUCUCGAGUCUGGGUUCGGUUCCUGUCAGAACACUCCCAAAAAUUCCGACUCGGGCUUCACUGCCUGAGGUCGAAACGUGAAGGUUUUCUUCCCCCCUCAAUCAGAAGGUGGGAAUUGCGAUUAUUCCCGUAUGACGUGAACGCAGCAUUAGCAUAACUGAAAGCUGUGUGGUCCCGUGAGAACGCGGUGUCGCUUGGGAUGAGACGCGGUUGAAAGGGGCCCUGCUUUUUUUGGUCCGGGGUUAUUAAGGGACUCUGGGAUAGUCGCUUCAAUGAUUCCCCCUGCAGGGAGACUGAAAAGAAUUGAACCAAGCCGUUCGAUCGUAG
ensembl:lncRNA